ACGGAAGGCAGCAGCUAAGAAUAUUCCGCAAUGGACGAAAGUCUGACGGAGCGACGCCGCGUGGAUGAAGAAGGCCGGAAGGUUGUAAAAUCCUUUUAAACAGGAAGAAUAAGUACUGAAGGGAAUGUCAGUAUGGUGACGGUACUGUUUGAAUAAGCAACGGCUAAUUACGUGCCAGCAGCCGCGGUAACACGUAAGUUGCGAGCGUUGUUCGGAAUUAUUGGGCGUAGAGGGCAUGUAGGCGGUUUUGCAAGCUUGGUGUGAAAUCCCGGAGCUCAACUCCGGAAUUGCGUUGAGAACUGCAUAACUAGAGUCACUGAGGGGCAAUCAGAAUUCCAGGUGUAGGGGUGAAAUCUGUAGAUAUCUGGAAGAAUAUCAAUGGCGAAGGCAGGUUACCAGCAGAUGACUGACGCUGAGGUGCGAAGGUGCGGGGAGCAAACAGGAUUAGAUACCCUGGUA
rnacentral:rRNA from 1 species